rnacentral:rRNA from 1 species
GAUCAUGGCUCAGGACGAACGCUGGCGGCGUGCCUAACACAUGCAAGUCGAGCGGAGUUAACAAGAGGAAGUUUCGGAUGGAAUUUGUAAUUUAGCGGCGGACGGGUGAGUAACGCGUGAGCGACCAACCUUGCACAGGGGGAUAACGGACCGAAAGGUUCACUAAUACCGCAUGAGACCACGGUGUUGCACGACACAGAGGUCAAAGGAGCAAUCCGGUGCAAGACGGGCUCGCGUCCGAUUAGGUAGUUGGUGGGGUAAUGGCCCACCAAGCCUAUGAUCGGUAGCCGACCUGAGAGGGUGAUCGGCCACAUUGGAACUGAGAUACGGUCCAAACUCCUACGGGAGGCAGCAGUGGGGAAUAUUGGGCCAAUGGGGGAAACCCUGACCCAGCAACGCCGCGUGAAGGGAGAAGGUUUUCGGAUUGUAAACUUCUGUCCUUGGUGAAGAGAAGAAGACGGUAGCCAAGGAGGAAGCCCCGGCUAACUACGUGCCAGCCGCCGC